UUCCUCUCUUCUUUUCCUCCCUUUCUACUCUCUCUCUCUCUCUCUCUCUCUCUCUCUCUUCAAACACUUACUUUCAUUUUUCCUGAAAUCCAAACAAAAAAAAAUCUUUCAUUUCUCUCACUUUAUUCUCUCCAAGCUAAGAUCUAAAAGGAGUAGAAGGAAAAAAAAAAAAAUAAUAAUAAAGAAGGCUAAGGAGAAGAAAGAAGGUUUUAGAGAGGGUGGUGGGUGGUGGGUGGGAUUGAUUGGCUUUAUGAAUUCAGAGCUUCUGAUGAGAAGAAGAUCAUGGGCGGAGUUACAUCGUCAAUCGCCGCCAAAUUCGCCUUCUUUCCGCCUAAUCCGCCGUCGUACAAAGUGAUCUCCGACGAGUCGUCUGGUGGCAAACUUGUAAUUCCAGAUGUCCCCAGGAGAGACGAUGUUGAUGUUCUCAAGCUCAAGACUCGUCGUGGUAAUGAAAUUGUGGCCAUUCACGUCAAGCAUCCCAAGGCUUCUGCUACUCUGCUCUACUCCCAUGGAAAUGCUGCUGAUUUGGGCCAGAUGUUCGAGCUCUUUGUCGAAUUGAGUGCUCGUCUUCGCGUUAACUUGAUGGGGUAUGACUACUCUGGCUAUGGACAAUCUACUGGAAAGCCAACAGAAUGCAAUACAUAUGCAGACAUUGAUGCAGCAUAUAAAUGCCUCAAGGAGCAGUAUGGGGUUAAAGAUGAACAAUUAAUAUUAUAUGGUCAGUCUGUUGGUAGUGGUCCAACAGUUGAUCUUGCAUCACGUUUAACCACCUUGAGAGGCGUUGUUUUACAUAGUCCAAUUUUGUCUGGCCUUAGGGUGUUGUACCCCGUCAAGCGGACAUUCUGGUUUGACAUUUACAAGAACAUUGACAAAAUCAGUAUGGUGAGCUGUCCUGUUCUGGUUAUACAUGGGACAUCUGAUGAAGUUGUAGAUUGGUCUCACGGAAAGCAGCUUUGGGAGCUUUGCAAUGAAAAGUACGAACCUUUAUGGAUUAGCGGGGGUGGACACUGUAAUCUUGAGCUUUACCCAGAAUUCCUUAAACAACUAAAGAAAUUUGUACAGACCCUUGGCAAAUCAAAACCGGGUGGCACAAAUGGUCUGAAAAAGAGUACGGUAGAAUCUGACAAUCAGAGCAAGCAGUCGGAGUCUGGAACCUCAGAUACAUUCGAGUUGGGUACUGACCUUCCAGAAGUUUCUAGAAACAGUUUAGAUAGUCGACUUGAGAAGACUAAAAAGUCAAACAAGCCUGAAAAGUCCCGGAUGAGCACUGACCGAGUUGACAGGUUUAGGAGAAGAAAGGGUUUAGUUUGGUGAUUUGUUAUUACACGGAACAUUUAAAAAUAAAUUAUCCACGCUUAUAAUUGAGGAGAGUCGAUUUCUUUGAUGCUGAGGUUGGUUUGCCAUCCAAGGAAACCUCUGUGGGACAUUAUUGAGGAUAUCAAGGAAUUUUGGUCUAGGUUAAGAAAUUCCCAGGAGGUUCUGUAUCUCAAAAGAACCGAGCACAGCUGCAGAUUGGCUUGCCAAAUCAGUAAGAAGGAGCUUCUCCAUGGUUGGGUCUAAAGUUGGCUUUAUAUAUAUUUUUAAUAUUAGUUAUAUUAUUCCUAACUUAAGUAGGAGGGUAAUAUUAUUUAUUUAUUUUUUCGGGCAAAAUGGGUAUGGGGUUAAAAAUAUACGCAUUAAUAUAUUAGGAUGCAUAUCUUCUAUUCCCUUUUAUUUUUUUAUUAUUAUUUCUUGAUCUCCAUUACCAUUCAAUCAUAGAUCAAUUUCCACUUUAUGUUAGAAAACUUGUAUUUUCAUUUUCUGUUAAUUAUUUAUUUAUUUAUUUGUUAAUAUUUUUAAAUGAAAUUACAUUACAUCAAUAGUGGACAGGGUGGGAAUAGGGGGUGUAUGUAGCCAAAAGAGAGAUUAGGAUUGAUCCGGAAGGUGGGAGUUGUAAUAGCAGUGUUUUUGUUCCGGUGUUUGAAUAGGCGGCUCAGGGUGUUGAAGCUAGGAAUAAGACUAUCAGCGAUGCUUUUGAUGAAGGUUUUGAAUUGAGGUGGUAAAAUGGUGGUGAUCAGGUUGAAUGUGAGAGAUGUGAGAGAUCAGGUGGUAGUUAUUCUUAUUUGUUAUUAAAAAGAAAAAGAAAAAGAUUUCACAUAUAAUAAAAGAUAAUAAAAUUAGAUGAGAAACUACUGUAAGUUUCAUGUCUUAUAAACCAAAUUAGUAUUACUCCUGCUGGAUUGAAUCACAUUGACACUAUUCGGAUUAUGAGCUAAGCUAAGAUAACUUCAAUGGUCUGCAGCUGAUUUGGAGAUAUACCUAGAAACGGAGUUAAUCCCCAAAAAGACCUUAUUGCGUAAGGUCGACUGCACCGACCUUCAUUAAUGUCCUUGACUUGACUAGUUGACUUGGUCCUGUCCUGGGUUUUAUUUUAUUCCAGCUUUCACUUUUCUAAUUUCUAAUGCUGUGUAUUUUUUCCUUCUCUUCCCACUAUAAUGGCUUUUAUUUAUUUAUUUAUUUAUUAUUAUUUUUAAUUUUUGAAGGAAUCCCACCAUAAUGUCUUAUCUAACUCUUUAAAGUUUCUAGUUUUCU